rnacentral:rRNA from 1 species
AUGGCGGCCGCGGUGGCGAGAGCGAUCGUGUGCGAGGCGGCGCCGCAGAGGGCGGCGCCCCCGUCGCAGCAGAAGCAGCAGACGAGGCGGGACAAGAUCCUGCUCCAGCCCCGCCUCUCCACGCUCCGGUCGUACGGCGCCGACGGCAGCGGCGCGGUGACGCGGAAGCGGCUCCCGGGCGAGGCCCUGGAGGAGGGCGGCGUCGGGGGAGCGCCGCCGUUCUUCGCGUCGCUCGCCGACUACAUCGAGAGCUCCCGCAAGAGCCAGGACUUCGAGACCAUCUCCGGCCGCCUCGCCAUGGUGGCGUUCGCGGCGGCGGUGGCGGUUGAGGCGACGACGGGGGACUCGCUGUUCAAGAAGCUGGACACGGUGCAGAUCGAGGAGGCGACGGGGCUGUGCCUGGCGGUGGUGGCCUCGGCGGCCACGUUCGCGUGGGUCUCGAGCGCGCGCGGCCGGAUCGGGCAGAUGCUCACCCUCGGCUGCAACUCCUUCGUGGACGGGCUCAUCGACAACGUCGUGGACGUGCUCUUCUCCGACGACCAGAUGCAGGACUGGUCCGACGACGUCUGA